rnacentral:snRNA from 1 species
AUAACCACCUGGCAGGAGGUGUACUAUGAUCAGGAAGGUGUUUUUUCUCAGAGUGAGGCUUAUCCAGUGCACACAGCUGUGCUGAGCCCUGGGAUUUCCCCAAAUGUGGGAAACCGGAUAGCAUAAUUUGUGGUAGUAUGGGAAAUGAAACAUU